UGACAAGUCAGCUGCGGCAUUAGAUCCUCAUAGGAGUUCGAACCCUAUCGUGAACUGCGCAUGAUGGAGAUCUAGGUUGUGCACUCCUUAUGAGAAUUUAAUGUCUGAUGAUCUGUUACUGUCUCCCAUCACCCCCAGAUGGGACCAUCUAGUUGCAGGAAAACAAGCUCGGGCUCCCACUGAUUCUACAUUAUGUUUCGCAUCUGCACAAGGCUGGCCUCCUGCAGGCAACCCUUCAAGGCUGCCCUUUCCUGGGUCAUCGUAUGUUCAGCGUGAGAGAUGCCAUUCCAAAGGUUCAGAGCCGUGUGGCCUGUGGACUUGGGGGUGGGGGACACACCCCCUCCUUCCCUCAACCUCCCUCCCACCGCCUGCUGCCAAGGGCCGCCAAGAGAAAUGUGGGCAAACCACACGGACCACCCCAGGCCUCCCAAGGGCACUUGGGGGUGAUGCCAGCCCCAGGAAGGAGUCCUCAAUAAAGAUCCAAGGUGCUAACAAGAAGAUGUCAAUCCAUUAACUCCACUUGAAGGGAAGAAAAAAAAUGUCAAUUACUGGUAAUGUGAAACAAAAGAGUGGGAAAUCGCAAAUGACAGUCUUUUUAAGACGGCCCUAGGGCCACUUCCAGCUGACCCUGUGCAUUAACCAAGCAGGGAGAUUUUUUUCCUUGGCUGCUCCCUCCUGCGUCCCUAAUAGCAUAAAAUAAAAAGAUUUUAGAUAAGAUUUCAUUCUGUGAAUCAAUUGGCAAACCACACUGGGCUUCACGGGGCAUUCUGGUCUCAAUCUAAUGGAAAUUAUUAUUUUUUAAAACGGGAAUAUCAAUACUAAAUUGGAUCCUAUAGCAGACAGCAUAUACAAAGGUUUUAUAUCAGCUGGCUUCUCUGGCUUCCACGGAGCUUUGCUUAACCCAGUACCUGCCAGCAUCCCAGGGAAAGGAUGAGAGAAUGCGGUGGGAGAAAAAUAUCCCAAAUCCUUGUUGUGACAGAAUA
rnacentral:lncRNA from 1 species